GAAAACAUCAGUUAGGCUUUUGUGAUUUGAAAAGGAAUAAUCUUAUUUUAUGAAAUUCAAAGAGAAAUAAAAUACUUUAGAAGGAGAGGUAUGUCUAAAGUGAGCUAUAUACUCAUUCAUCCUAGAAGAAUUUUUCCUAACACCUCCAGGGUGACAUAAUUAUUGUCUUGGGGGUUGGGACAAGUGUCAAGGCUGAAGCAAUCACGGCAUUAUCACUAUGCUAAGAGCCAGCAACAGAUACUAAACAGAAGUUAUAAAUAGCAAAGCAAGACCCAAAAAUGCAAAGUAGAAAAUACAGUAUUCCAAACUCUCAAACGUCCCCAGCAACAGAUCCAGAGAAAGCGUUACUCAGAUAAAAGCUACCAUUUUUUUUUUUUUUUUUUUUUUUUGAGAUGGAGUCUCCCUCUGUUACCCAGGCUGGAGUGCAGUGGCGCGAUCUCGGCUCACUGCAAGCUCCACCUCCCGGGUUCAUGCCAUUCUCCUGCCUCAGCCUCCCGAGUAGCUGGGACUACAGGCACCCACCACCACGCCCGGCUAAUUUUUUUGUAUUUUUAGUAGAGAUGGGGUUUCACUGUGUUCGGCAGGAUGGUCUCGAACUCCUGACCUUGUGAUCCGCCGGCCUCGGCCUCCCAGAGUGCUGGGAUUACAGGCGUGAGCCACUGCUUCCAGCAAAAGCUACCAUUUUUAAGCCCUUACUCCAUGCCAGAAACUGGAUAUGCACUUUGCAUGCAUCAACUCAAUCUUGACAAC
rnacentral:lncRNA from 1 species